GAGAUGUAACAGCAACUAACAUCGCCACUCUGUUCAUCUGGAGAGAGGAAAGUAGACAGAAAAUCUGAUCACGAUGGAUUACAUCAAGCCAGCAUUUGACAUCCUGUUCGAACAAGUGAGAAAAUCAGGCAGUUUUUACAUGACCUUCUUUGUUCUUUUUCUGUACCACAUUAUGUUUGAUGACCACUUAAAAUGUUCUUGUGAACAUGGAGUUAAAACAGGGGUUACCCCUGAACACUGUAUCUACUACAUGGUGUUUCCAGCUGUGAUCUUGAUUUUCUUGGCUCUCUGGAUGGACAGAGAGUUUCAACGAGUCUUGAGAAUGACAUGCAGAUACAGAUGUGAUUUGUGUGGAAGACUGUUGGGAAUCUUCAUUAAGGCAGUCUCUAAAGGGUUGCUGUGGGUUGUGUGUGUGCUUUUUGAUGGAGACUGGUACGUGUGCUAUGAAAGUCCAGAGAGUCCCUGUGGACACACUAAUACCCCAAUCUACCAAGAGGACCUAGAAAAGCAAACUAAUAUCAAAAGGUUCUCCAUGGUUUACGGCUCAGGACUGGUUCUGUUUCUACUUGUUGGGAAUUCCAUUCUGACUGCAGUACCUUGGAGGGAUAUCUGUUGUAGAUCUUGCAAGGUCAGACCUUAUCACAGGGAACUAUUUGAGGAGAAUAUUUGGGAAGAGACAGAAAUUCUUAUUGAAAAAGACUUAAAGAGAACAGCUCAGGAGAGUGUAGUUAUUAAAAGCAGAGAACUACUACCACCCCUUCAGAAUGCAGCCCAAGGAAACAUACAGGGAGGCGGCACCACCCAUCCUGAGGUGGAAAACAGAGUGAUCACCCUGAACAACCUUCAUUUUAACAUUAUAUCUGAUCUAGAUAAUGUUAUAAUUGAUAAAAUUAACACUAUGUACCGGAACCCGAACCCCCCACAGACCAAUGACGGAGACCUGACCACACCGGUUUAGGGAACAACAACGGAAACCAGAAAAUAACAAACUAAUCCAAAGGAACAAUAACCGAAGAAGUGGCCAGAUGCCACAACUUUAGGAAGGCACUCAACCCUAACUGUGGUGUAAUAUUGGUCAAUGGUAUAAUAUAGAUGUUUGCAUCAAAUGUGUGAAAUGUCACAUAUUUGGUUAUAAUAUGUAAAAUGAUAUUGACAUUAAUAGUAUGAUACACUGUAUGUGAACCGUUUGUGAAAACUGUGGCUUUCAAGUGAAAUAUUCAAAUCAGCCACGCAAAAAUGAACUGUAGUGAUUAGCGACUCUGCGUUUAUAAGGAUACAUCUGUCUCACAAUAAACUGUGUUUCUGGUUAAGUUAGCAGCAGUAGUUUGGUACAAUACAACUAGUAUGGGUUAUAUGAGGGGGAGUGAGCAACUGUGGGUGAUAAACCUCAACAACGACCCUGUAUAAGUCUGUAUAAUGUCACAGGGUGGAAAUGUGAGCCGGGUGGCAAAAAUGAGCCUGUUAGACCACAGUGAUGAUUGACAGAGCUGUUCUAGGUCAUCUUUAUUUCUAGACUAUAAACAAUAUAACCUUCAUUAAUGAAUAUAUGUUAAUAUAACCAGUGAAUUAUUGUUUUUGUUCUUGAUGCUAAAAUGCAUAUGUUGUUACUAUUGAUUGUGUUCUGUCUUUAUGUCAACCUUCAACAAACAAUUAAAAAUAUAUAAUAAUACUAACAA